AUCACUUAUGUGCAUUUUGGCUAAGAUCAAGUGUAGUAUCUGUUCUUAUCAGUUUAUUAGUAGGGGACUGUAACACCCCACUUACAUCAGUGGAUAGAUUAU
ensembl:snRNA U2 U2 spliceosomal RNA